GGUCUCAGUCAAGACCUAAAAGGGUAGGGGGGGAAUCAUUUUUCCUCACAUACAGUUUGGCAACUCAUGAGGGGACCUGCUGAGACGCCACUUUUGCUCUGGAGCCUGCAGACAGGACCCUGGAACACUGGCAGAAGCAGCCCAGGAUAAGAAGUCUGCUCUCCCGAAUCUCUGUACUGCCCCAUGGAGAGAGGACGGGAAAAAUCAUCUGCCCGUUCCUUCCCAUCAUUUAGGUAAGCAGGAAACAAUAUUUGUAUGAACUAGUCCCUUGGGUAUAGAUGUUGGUAAAGAUUUUAUUAUACGCUCGUUUUCUAUUGAUCUCUCCCCUCCCAGAGAUGUUUUCUGUUAUCUCUGUCAUUUGUGUUGUUUGUCAUAAGGAGGAAAACCAUAGGCCAGAUGAGGUUUUCCUCCUGUCUUAAUCUAUGUCUUAAGAACUUGGCCUUUUGACCAGUUCAAGAAUACUCUGUGGCCUCCACCAGCCGGAAGAUGCCAGUAUGGGCUUGUCUCUAGCAGCCAACCGAAUAGGCUGGGAAUCAGACACACAACAUGGAUUGUCUUGGACUAUUGGUCUGCUCCUGAUAAAAGAUUGUGAAGGGUUUUCCACUUUUAGGAGUUUGAUAGCUUGCUAUGACGUGCACUAACCACUAGGGGGCAGCGCGGAACAAGGCAGGCUUCGGGAUGCAGCGCUGGAGGCACUGCCAGCCCUGAUGGGCCCUGACGAGAUCGGGACUGAGGUGGGAUGGUGGAUCAGGUGAGUGGGCGGUGCCAGGCCAAGGCAGGUAUGAGUGGGGGCCUGAUUGCCCCACGGACGGCAACCAGCAGCAGUGGC